rnacentral:rRNA from 1 species
UACGAAGGUGGCUAGCGUUGUUCGGAUUUAUUGGGCGUAAAGGGUCCGCAGGCGGUUUGGAAAGGCAGAUGUGAAAUCCCACAGCUUAACUGUGGACACGCAUUUGAAACUUCCAGACUAGAGUGUGAGAGGGGUGAAUGGAAUUUCCAGUGUAGGGGUGAAAUCCGUAGAUAUUGGAAAGAACACCGGCCGCGAAGGCGAUUCACUGGCUCAUUACUGACGCUCAGGGACGAAAGCCAGGGGAGCAAACGGG